rnacentral:rRNA from 1 species
AGUGGAUGCCUAGGACUUCAUUUUUCCCCUGUCUUAUCAAGGCAGUAAAUUUAUCGGAAGUAAAUAUUUAAUAUUAAAUAUUAAAUAUUUAGAAUUAAAAGAUAAAGUUGGGAAAUACCUCAAGAAUUGAAACAUCUUAGUAUUGAGAGGAAAAGAAAAUAAAAAUGAUUCCCUUAGUAAUGGUGAGUGAAAAGGGAGAGGCCUAAACUAAAUAAUAUUUAGGAGUAGUGGGGUAGUUGUAUUGUUUAAAGUAAGUAACAAUACGCUAAUGUUAUUAGCAACGUUUGAUUGAGUUAAUAGAAGCAUUAUGGAAAUAUGCGCCAGAGAAAGUGAAAGCCUUGUAUAUUAAAUGGAAAAAGAAUGUUACAAACUACACCCAAGUAGCCCAAAGCACGAGGAAUUUUGGGUGAAUCUGCGAGGACCUUCUCGUAAGGCUAAAUAUCAGUGAAGAUCCGAUAGUGAAUAGUACUGUGAAGGAAAGGUGAAAAGAACCCGUAGUUGGGAGUGAAAAAGAACCUGAAACUAUAAGCUUACAAGCUGAACAUGAAAAAUUUAGUUUUUAUGUUUGUGCCUGUUGAAGAAUGAGCCAGCGAGUUAUUUGUAGCAGCGUGGUUAAAGUAAAGACAUACUGGAGCCUCAGUGAAAGCGAGCUAAAAAAGCGUCUGUUGUUACAUUUAGACCCGAAACCGGAUGAUCUAACCUUGAACAGGAUGAAGUUCUUUUAACAGGGAAUGGAGGUCCGAACUGUUUGGUGUUGAAAAACCAACGGAUGAUUUGAGGUUAGCGGUGAAAUGCCAAUCGAAUUCGGAGAUAGCUGGUUCUCCCCGAAAUGUGUGUAGGCACAGCGGAAGUAUUUUUUAUUUUGUGGUAAAGCUCUGUUUUAAUAAUGGCUUUUAACAAAGUACUGCUUUAAGGCAAAAUCUGAAUGCAAAAUAAUAAACUUCUAGUCAGACUUUAUGGGACAAGCUAUAAAGUCGAGAGGGAAACAGCCCAGACCACAAGAUAAGGCCCUAAAAUAAAUACUAAGUGUUUUUAAGGAAGUAAAAAUACUACGACAUCCAGGAGGUUCGCUUAGAAGCAGCAACCCUUUAAAGAGUGCGUAAAAGCUCACUGGAAUAGUUUUUUUGCGCCGACAAUUAUCGGGACUAAGUAUUUUGCCGAAGCUGUGGAAUUAUAGUAUUUUUAACUAUAAUUGGUAGGGGAGCGUAUUAAGAGAAUAGAAGCUUUAAUGUAAAUAGAGGUGGAUUUCUUAAUAGUGAGAAUGCUGGCUUGAGUAACGAAAAUAUUUGUGAGAAUCAAAUACUCCUAAAAUCUAAGGUUUCCGUCGGAAGGUUCGUCCGCGACGGGUUAGUCAAAAUCUAAGGUGAGACCGUUGGUGUAGCCGAUGGUUAAUAGUUUAAUAUUACUAUACCUUUACAUCUCUGCAUGAGGAUGACUGAGAAAACUAUGCUUAUAAAACAAUGGAAUGUUUUAUAUUUUUAAUAUAUUUUGAUGUGGUGAAAACACGUUUUAAAAAGUAAUUAAAGAUUUAUUUUUGUGAAUAAUAAAUAAAAGCAAAUGUUAUGCUUACUAGAAAAGUCCUAACAUGAAUAAAAAGGUGUAAAGUCUGUACUAAAACUGACACAGGUAGAUAGGUAGAGAAUACUAAGGAGCGCGAGAUAACUCUCUUUAAGGAACUCGGCAAAUUAACCUCGUAACUUCGGGAGAAGAGGUGCCAUUUAUGGUUUCAAUUAAAAGGCCCAAACGACUGUUUAACAAAAACACAGGUCUCCGCUAAGUUGAAAAACGAUGUAAGGGGGCUGACGCCUGCCCAGUGCCGAAAGGUUAAAAAAUUUUGUAAUAAUAAUAAGGUAAUUUUAUUGUUGCUUGAAAAUUAAGCCUCGGUAAACGGCGGCUGUAACUAUAACGGUCCUAAGGUAGCGAAAUUCCUUGUCGGGUAAGUUCCGACCCGCAUGAAAGGCGUAACGAUUUGGGCACUGUCUCAAAGAGGGACUCGGUGAAAAAGAAUUGUCUGUGAAGAUGCGGACUACUUGCACAAGGACAGCGAGACCCUAUGAAGCUUUACUACAGGUUAAGAUUGGCCAAUAUAUUUUUAUGUGUAGAAUACGUGGGAGGUGAAAACCGUCAAUGAAAUACCACUCUUAAAACUAUAGAAGCCUAAUUUAUAUAAAUAAAGACAUUCUUUGCUGGGUAGUUUGACUGGGGCGGUCGCCUCCUAAAAAGUAACGGAGGCGUACAAAGGUUUUCUCAAAACGGACAGAAAUCGUUUGUAGAGUGCAAAGGCAAAAGAAAGCUUGACUGUAAGACAAACAAGUCGAACAGGGACGAAAGUCGGUCUUAGUGAUCUGGCGAUACUGAAAGGAAAGGUCGUCACUUAACGGAUAAAAGUUACUCUAGGGAUAACAGGCUGAUCUCCCCCAAGAGUUCUUAUCGCCGGGGAGGUUUGGCACCUCGAUGUCGGCUCAUCACAUCCUGGAGCUGUAGAAGGUUCCAAGGGUUGGGCUGUUCGCCCAUUAAAGUGGUACGUGAGCUGGGUUCAGAACGUCGUGAGACAGUUCGGUCCAUAUCCGGUGUGAGCGUUGAAAUAUUGAAAACUUUCUUCUCUAGUACGAGAGGACCGAGAAGAACAUACCUAUGGUGUACCAGUUAUUUUUCCAAAAGUAAACGCUGGGUAGCUACGUAUGAUAAAGAUAAUCACUGAAAGCAUCUAAGUGAGAAGCUUUGUUUAAGAUAAGUAUUUCAGGAUUACAACUAGACUAGUUGU